GAAAUGCGAUAAGUAAUGUGAAUUGCAGAAUUCAGUGAAUCAUCGAAUCUUUGAACGCACAUUGCGCCCGCCAGCACUCCGGCGGGCAUGCCUGUUCGAGCGUCAUUUCAACCCUCAGAACCCCUUGCGGGAUCUGGCGUUGGGGAUUGGCAUCCAGCCAGCCCCGAAAUCUAGUGGCGGUCCCUCCGCGACCUCCCCUGUGCAGUAGCGAUACCUCGCAGCGGGACAGCGGUCUGACCACGCCGUAAAACCCCCAACUUCCCAAGGUUGACCUCGAAUCAGGUAGGAAUACCCGCAGAACUUAAGC
rnacentral:misc_RNA from 1 species